UCUCAACCGGCCAGGAAAGACGCAAC
rnacentral:piRNA from 1 species